rnacentral:sRNA from 1 species
ACGAGGUUGCUUGGACAGAUGUUGCGGCGCUGGUCAAACUGUGGUUUGAAGCGC